rnacentral:rRNA from 1 species
CCUACGGGAGGCAGCAGUGGGGAAUAUUGCACAAUGGGGGAAACCCUGAUUCAGCGACGCCGCGUGAGUGAGGAAGUAUUUCGGUAUGUAAAGCUCUAUCAGCAGGGAAGAAAAUGACGGUACCUGACUAAGAAGCACCGGCUAACUACGUGCCAGCAGCCGCGGUAAUACGUAGGGGGCAAGCUUUAUCCGGAUUUACUGGGUGUAAAGGGAGCGUAGACGGAAUUGCAAGUCUGAUGUGAAAAUCCGGGGCUCAACCCCGGAACUGCAGUGGAAACGGUAUGUCUAGAGUGUCGGAGAGGCGAGUGGAAUUCCUGGUGUAGCGGUGGAAUGCGUAGAUAUCAGGAGGAACACCAGUGGCGAAGGCGGCUUGCUGGACGAUGACUGACGUUGAGGCGCGAAAGCGUGGGGAGCAAACAGGAUUAGAUACCCGAGUAGUC